AAGUCAUGUUGAGAACAAUUCCUUAACAACCCCUUGUAGCGCUCUCAGGCCUUGUAAAGUGGCUCCCCUGGGUUUUGCUCAAAAUUUGCUAUUGCCUUCUUGAGUUU